CUGAGGGCUGGGCUCGGGGGUCCC
rnacentral:siRNA from 1 species